rnacentral:lncRNA from 1 species
AAUAUUGAUGCCUAAGAAGAAUCGGAUUGCCAUCUAUGAACCCUUUUUUAAGGAAGGCAUAAUGGUCACCAAAAAGAAUGUCCAAACACCUUGAGCUGGCAGACAAGAAUGUGCCCAACCUUCAUGUAAUGAAGGCCAUGUAGUCUCUCAAGUCUAGAGACUAUGUGAAGGAGCAGUUUGCUUGGAGACAUUUCUGCUGGUACCUUACGAAUGAGGGCAUCCAAUAUCUCUGAGAUUAAUUGCACCUACCCCCAGAAAUCGUGCCUGCCACCCUGCGCCAAAGCCGUCCCAAGACUGGCAGGCCUUGGCCCAAAGGUCUAGAGGGUGAGUGGCCUGCAAGAUUCACAAGAGGGGAGGCCGACAGAGACACCUACAGAAGGAGUGCUGUGCCCCCUGGAACUUACAAGAAAGCUGAGGCUGGGGGCUGGCUCAGCAACUGAAUUCCAAUUUAGAGGCAGCUUUGGUUGCAGACAUGGUCAGCCACCUCAGUGA